UGAGAAUUCCUGUGGGGGCUUGACGGUACUAUAUGAAUAAGGAUCGGCUAACUCCGUGCCGGCGGCCGCGGUAAUACGGAGGAUCCGAGCGUUAUCCGGAAUCAUUGGGUUUAAAGGGUCCGCAGGCGGACUGAUAAGUCAGAGGUGAAAUCCUACUGCUCAACUGUAGAACUGCCUUUGAUACUGGGAGACUUGAGUUAUUGUGGAGUGGUUAAAAUGUGUGGAGUUGCGGUGAAAUGCAUAUAUAUCACACAGAAUACCGAUUGCUAAGGCAGAUUACUAACAAUAUACUGACGCUGAUGGACGAAAGCGAGAGGAGCGAACAGGAUUAGAUACCCUGGUAGUCCACGCCGUAAACGAUGGAUACUAACUGUUCGACCCUCAGGUUGAGUGUUCUCACCUAAGUGAUAAUUAUCCCACCUGCUGACUACGAUCGCAUUUAGUGAGACUCAAACGAAUU
rnacentral:rRNA from 1 species